AGGAGAGAAUCUCCUCCAGGAAUUUAUGACCUGCCUAACAGAGCCUGGUGUCGGGAGUAUAGAGAGAGAGGGGAUGGUGCUUGCUGUACCCAAAGAGUGAUUUUAAAGUUAGAUACUGGAUGUAUUCAGUCGGGAACAAAGGCAUGUUAGCGUUAGCUAACGUUAGCUAAACCAUUUCUGCCUCAAUGGGUAACUAGCAGUAGCUAGUUAGCUAUUAGCUCACAUUAAAUUGCACAAGAGGUCACCGAAUUGACCAGUCAACAGAAGCUAGCUAACGGGUGACUUUUAACACAGAUCAGUGAAGAGGAAGUAGGACUUGGACAAUUUGGACGACACGUCGAGGACCUGAGCCCUAGGACCAUGCCUCAGGUCUACCCGGCCUGAUGACUACUUGCGGUCCCCAGUCCACCUGGCCCUGCUGCUGCUCCAGUUUAAACUGUUCUGCCUGCGGCUAUGGAACCAUGACCUGUUCACCGGACGUGCUACUUGUCCCAGACCUGAUGUUUUCAACUCUCAAGAGACAGCAGGAGCGGUAGAGAUACUCUGAAUGAUCGGCUAUGAAAAGCCAGCUGACAUUUACUCCUGAGGUGCUGACCUGUUGCACCAUUGACAACCACUGUGAUUAUUAUUAUUUGACCCUGCUGGUCAUCUAUGAACAUUUGAGCAUAUUGGCCAUGUUCUGUAAUAAUCUCCACCCGGCACAGCCAGAAGAGGACUGGCCACCCCUCAUAGCCUGGUUCCUCUCUAGGUUUCUUCCUAGGUUCUGGCCUUCCUGAGGAGUUUCUCCUAGCCACUGUGCUUCUACACCUGCAUUGCUUGCUGUUUGGGGUUUUAGGCUGGGUUUCUGUACAGCACUUUGAGAUAUCAGCUGAUGUAAGAAGG
ensembl:lncRNA